CAGAAAGAUUAUCUACCUGACUGGGCCAAAAAUUGCUCCCUGGGAUGAUGCUUUUGUGGUUCGCUUUCCUUCAUUGCUUGGUAGAAAGGACUCCUGUUCUGGGAUCUUCUGGAUGGAAGGCUUCUGAAAGUUUGAUUAUAGGUGAAUAGCCAUAUUAGUUAGUGCUAGCAUUUUUUCAGUGUUUCGCCACUCACCUCGCCCCCUGCCCCCUUCAAGCAGAAGCACCGCCGCCUCGCGCCUACCAGUGCCAGCCACUUCCGCACCUGCCUCCGCUCGAGCCUGUUCAGAGAGGAACCACAGAGACAGAGGCCGAGCGCUGGAAAGAGCGCCUCGUGGAAGGGGGGGGGACGCUCUGCACCACCCUCUAGCGACCUGAUGGUGCAGCCGCGUGACUCGGAGGACUGGUUUGGGAGGACUACAGUUACAGUACGAAACAGACUCAUGCAGCAGGAGGUUGAAGAAAGGAAUUUCAUUCUGUGGAGAUUGCCAAAGAUUGUCUUCUGGGGCUUGUGUCCUCCUUGAAACAUCAAAGCAUCAAGACUAUGUUGUAUCAGCCUUUUUGCCAUGAUUGGAAUAGCUACAGAUUGCAGCUACAAGCAAAAUUAACCUUGGCGGAAGGUUCAUAAGUAAAAACAUAUAAUGCAUUGUGUGUAUCUUCUUUCAAAUGAUUAAGGACUUUGCGGGGGGGACUUGGCUGGCAAAGACUGUUUAACAGCCUGGACCUUUCAGCCAAGACGAGCUGCCAUGGGAGUGAAGUAACUCCCUUGGAGCUGGGACAGAAUAUUCUCUCAGCCCUGGAAGGAUGGAAAGCUACCAGUUCCAUCCCUGCUGCUUGGGGCUAGAGGCCCCAUCCUGCAAUAGACUACAGAGACACUGUUUUUCUUUUCUUUUCUUUGUAUGCUGACUCCAAUAAAGCUUAACUGAUCACCA
rnacentral:lncRNA from 1 species